UGGGCAACCUGCCCCUGACACUGGGAUAACCCCGGGAAACCGGAGCUAAUACCGGAUACUCUCGGCCGAUCACAUGGCUGGCCGAGGAAAGGUCCGCCGGUCAGGGAUGGCCCGCGGCCUAUCAGCUUGUUGGCGAGGUAACGGCUCACCAAGGCGACGACGGGUAGCUGGUCUGAGAGGAUGGCCAGCCACAUUGGGACUGAGACACGGCCCAGACCUCCGUACGGGGAGCU
rnacentral:rRNA from 1 species